UACGUAGGGGGCUAGCGUUGCUCGGAAUCACUGGGCGUAAAGCGCACGUAGGCGGAUUGUUAAGUCAGGGGUGAAAUCCUGGAGCUCAACUCCAGAACUGCCUUUGGUACUGGCGAUCUCGAGUCCGGGAGAGGUGAGUGGAACUGCGAGUGUAGAGGUGAAAUUCGUAGAUAUUCGCAAGAACACCAGUGGCGAAGGCGGCUCACUGGCCCGGAACUGACGCUGAGGUGCGAAAGCGUGGGGAGCAAACAGG
rnacentral:rRNA from 1 species